rnacentral:lncRNA from 1 species
CACACACGCACACACACUUUCCUCCCUCUUCCCCCACCUCCCUAUGCCAUUUUCUGCAGUCAGCGUUCAAAAAAAGUACGAAAACCAUCGGGUAAUUUCCAACUGAACCGAUUACGGACGGCGAAUUUAUCCAAACACUUAAGCAAGGAGAGGAUCCUAAAAUCGAAAAACGAAGGCGGAAGGGGCGAGAAGAACGGGGUGGAGUUGGGUGGCGGAGCGAGUGGGACGUUAACUGGCCAAUAGUUUGCAACUGCCGGUCAACACGCGCAGCCUACUCAGCGCUGCUCCGGAGGCGCGGGACGCCGCCUCCACGUGAGCCGCGCUCCUCCCAGUGCCCGGGACGGUGUCGGGGGCGGGCUGCACGGCGAGAAGGGCAAAAUAAAACCAGCCCGAGAGGCCCUGGCUGGGGUUGAGACUGCAGGAGUAACUUCUGCACCGAGGCAGCGCGCAGCCAGUCGGGGAAGAACUCUGCAACCUGACCGAAAGAAAGUCCGACCCUCUCGGGAGGGCUGCCAGGAUGCUGGAGCGAGUGUCAGGGUCCGAGACUCCCAAGUCGGGCGAGGGCUCCUGCCCCUGGCCAUUGGGUACCCCCCUCCGACCAACACCCCCGUCCCGCUUCAGAGCGUCGGCCCCACAGACCUAGAUGGGCAAGAUACCAAAUACUUUUCUUGGAAUACAUCAUCUUGAUUGAAAACUACUAGGAUAUUUUUGAAAAAAUAGCUCAUUAGCUGGCUGGAAAUGUGCUCUCCUGAAGAAAAAUCAGA